GCCCUUCACUACGGAAUAGCCUCUGGAAACGGAGAGUAAUACCGUAUGCGCCCUUCGGGGAAAGAUUUAUCGGUGAAGGAUUAGCCCGCGUCUGAUUAGAUAGUUGGUGGGGUAACGGCCUACCAAGUCGACGAUCAGUAGCUGGUUUGAGAGGAUGAUCAGCAACACUGGGACUGAGACACGGCCCAGACUCCUACGGGAGGCAGCAGUGGGGAAUCUUGCACAAUGGACGAAAGUCUGAUGCAGCAAUGCCGCGUGAGUGAAGAAGGCCUUCGGGUUGUAAACCUCUUUCGACAGGGAAGAAGGGUACUCUUGUUAAUAAUUAGAGUGCUGGACGGUACCUGUAUAAGAAGCACCGGCUAACUCCGUGCCAGCAGCCGCGGUAAUACGGAGGGUGCAAGCGUUGUUCGGAAUAACUGGGCGUAAAGCGCGCGCAGGGGGUUUGUAAGUCAUCUGUGAAAGCCCUGGGCUUAACCUAGGAAUUGCAGGUGAAACUACAAAUCUUGAAUACUGGAGAGGAUGGUGGAAUUCCUGGUGUAGAAGUGAAAUUCAUAGAUAUCAGGAGGAACACCCGAGGCGAAAGGGCCAUCUGGCAUGUAUUGACGCUGAGGCGCGAAAGUGGGUAGCAAACAGGAUUAGAUACCCUGGUAGUCCACGCCGUAAACGAUGGAUACUAGGUGUUCGGAGUAUUAACCCUCUGAGUACCGUAGUUCACGCAUUAAGUAUCCCGCCUGGGGAGUACGGUCGCAAGGCUAAAACUCAAAGGAUUGACGGGGGCCC
rnacentral:rRNA from 1 species